UACGAAGGGGGCUAGCGUUGCUCGGAAUCACUGGGCGUAAAGCGCACGUAGGCGGAUUGUUAAGUCAGGGGGGAAAUCCUGGAGCUCAACUCCAGAACUGCCUUUGAUACUGGCGAUCUUGAGUCCGGGAGAGGUGAGUGGAACUGCGAGUGUAGAGGUGAAAUUCGUAGAUAUUCGCAAGAACACCGGUGGCGAAGGCGGCUCACUGGCCCGGUACUGACGCUGAGGUGCGAAAGCGUGGGGAGCAAACAGG
rnacentral:rRNA from 1 species